rnacentral:lncRNA from 1 species
CAAUACAACACAUGCUGGGCUUCAAACUUGCAUGUGUGUAGUGCGCUUCUGUCAUCAAAGUUUACAUGGUUCUAGUAGGUAAAACAAUUGGACAUAUCAGUGUGUCCUACAAAACAGGUAAAGAUAAUUAUCAAGAGUGUAAAAUCAUGACACUCACACAAAUGUGAGCACGUUAAAAUAUUUAUCACAUAUGGAAAUUGGCAGAUAUUAUAACCAGUAUAAUGGAGAAUCCAAAGAACAGAAACAUGCAUACUGAUCAGGAAUAGUGAAUGGAAUAUGUCAGUGGAGGCAAAACUGGUUAGUGUAGUGUGUAUUGGUCUGGGGAGACUGAACCUACCGUUGAGGUCUCUAAGUUGUGCAUGUCUCUCAGUGACCUACAACUUACAAACGGAUGUAAAAGAGCUCAAAGACAAUGCAGGACUAGAAUCAGAUAGAUUACAUGGAGUUGUAUCCUAUGAACAAGGAAAAGGUUUUCAUUGAAACACACAUUUUUUGCUAGAAUGUUAAAAUCAAGUAGAUAGUUAGCAUUCCCUUAAAAAGAAGUUCCAGUUACUAGGGUGACCAGAUUCCUCUCAUGGGCAUUUCUAGGCUGAGGCCUGAUCACGGCCCAGUGGACACCAAUGACAUCACAAAGUGGAGGUUGUCACUAAGGCAACUGAUGACCAGUGAGGGGCUGGAGCACAGGGGUAUAGUGGGCUGCAGUAAGCACUGGCACCUUGAGAGACUCAGGCCAGCAGAAAAAUCAAGCUGUGACAACCGGGGCAAAACCCAGCAAACAUCAUGGCUGGAAACAAACACAGUCGCAGCUCCUGUAAGCCUAGAAGACAGUGCCUUUCCCGUUCCAGAAGAGCGGAGCUGCAGUUUCCUGUUAGCCACAUGGAACGCUGCCUGCGAGAAGGCAACUCAUUGUGAAGAUGCCCACCCCACCACUGGGUGAUUCCUUAUGGAGAACUAUAGAGCAUUCCCAGCCUUAGCCCAGAUCGUCACUUUCUCUUCUGUGCAUUUGAGAAGCAAGCAGGCGUCUCUCCAGCAUCUGCAGCUCUAGGUUCCACCCCAUAAUUUUACAGAAGAGACAGACAUGCAAUUAAGAUGACCUGCCUGGGGCCCACAACAUUAGAUCAUUUCCUCAUAUAGCAUGAAUUUGACAAAGUUCACAGAAAAUGGAACGUACUCACAGGGUGCCAUCAAAACAAAAAGGCUGGCUCAGAAUCAGUAUGCAAAUAGUGUAAAAUUGUUUUAAUGCCUGGACUUUGAAACAAGUAACAAGUGUUCGAAAGUAUAUAAUCUAAGAGCGAAUUUGCCCUCCUUGGACUAACCACAUACAAAUAUGAAUCUGGCUGCAAGAACAGGAUAUCCAGGUAACCAGAAAGUGGGCAUUGAUAAAAAUAUCUGGUGAAGAAGCCUAGGAUUUUGACUUUUUGUCAGAGGAUUCCUGUUGGGACAGCUUUACCAGAAAAGAAUAAUAGUGGAUAUGUUCAUCCAAACUAAGAACUUUCAUGCAUCUUGCAUUGUUACAUAGCCUGUGGAAUGAAUUCAUUUUUUCUCCCUUGAGUCCAGGAAUGACUUCCCUGGAAAAACUCAAUCUAUAUACAGCUAUGCCAAAAUGAAGGAUACCUGCCUCUCUGAAACUUUCACUGCUGCUUCUGCCAUUGUUCAUUUGUCAGAUUAAAUUUUAUUAUCUCAGGAUGCAAAUU